rnacentral:rRNA from 1 species
AUUGAACGCUGGCGGCAGGCCUAACACAUGCAAGUCGAACGGUAACAGGAAGAAGCUUGCUUCUUUGCUGACGAGUGGCGGACGGGUGAGACAUGUCUGGGAAACUGCCUGAUGGAGGGGGAUAACUACUGGAAACGGUAGCUAAUACCGCAUAAUGUCGCAAGACCAAAGAGGGGGACCUUCGGGCCUCUUGCCAUCGGAUGUGCCCAGCUGGGAUUAGCUAGUAGGUGGGGUAACGGCUCACCUAGGCGACGAGCCCUAGCUGGUCUGAGAGGAUGACCAGCCACCCUGGAACUGAGACACGGUCCAGACUCCUACGGGAGGCAGCAGUCGGGAAUAGUGCGCAGUGGGCGCAAGCCUGAUGCAGCGAUGCCGCGUGUAUGAAGAAGGCCUUCGGGUUGUAAAGUACUUUCAGCGGGGAGGAAGCGAGUAAAGUUAAUACCAUGCCUCAUUGACGUUACCCGCAGAAGAAGCACCGGCUAACUCCGUG